AGUCGAGCGAAUCUUUAGGAGCUUGCUCCUAUCGGUUAGCGGCGGACGGGUGAGUAACACGUGGGCAACCUACCUAUAAGACUGGGAUAACUUCGGGAAACCGUAGCUAAUACCGGAUAAUCCAUUUCCUCUCAUGGGGAAAUGCUGAAAGACGGUUUACGCUGUCACUUAUAGAUGGGCCCGCGGCGCAUUAGCUAGUUGGUGAGGUAACGGCUCACCAUGGCAACGAUGCGUAGCCGACCUGAGAGGGUGAUCGGCCACACUGGGACUGAGACACGGCCCAGACUCCUACGGGAGGCAGCAGUAGGGAAUCUUCCACAAUGGACGAAAGUCUGAUGGAGCAACGCCGCGUGAGCGAUGAAGGCCUUCGGGUCGCAAAGCUCUGUUGUUAGGGAAGAACAAGUACCGGAGUAACUGCCGGUACCAUGACGGUACCUAACCAGAAAGCCACGGCUAACUACGUGCCAGCAGCCGCGGUAAUACGUAGGUGGCAAGCGUUGUCCGGAAUUAUUGGGCGUAAAGCGCGCGCAGGCGGUCCUUUAAGUCUGAUGUGAAAGCCCACGGCUCAACCGUGGAGGGUCAUUGGAAACUGGGGGACUUGAGUGCAAAAGAGGAAAGCGGAAUUCCACGUGUAGCGGUGAAAUGCGUAGAGAUGUGGAGGAACACCAGUGGCGAAGGCGGCUUUCUGGUCUGUAACUGACGCUGAGGCGCGAAAGCGUGGGGAGCAAACAGGAUUAGAUACCCUGCUAGUCCACGCUGUAAACGAUGAGUGCUAAGUGUUAGGGGUU
rnacentral:rRNA from 1 species